rnacentral:rRNA from 1 species
AUUGAACGCUGGCGGCAGGCUUAACACAUGCAAGUCGAGCGGGGUGAUGGUGCUUGCACUAUCACUUAGCGGCGGACGGGUGAGUAAUGCUUAGGAAUCUGCCUAUUAGUGGGGGACAACAUCUCGAAAGGGAUGCUAAUACCGCAUACGUCCUACGGGAGAAAGCAGGGGAGCACUUGUGACCUUGCGCUAAUAGAUGAGCCUAAGUCGGAUUAGCUAGUGGGUGGGGUAAAGGCCUACCAAGGCGACGAUCUGUAGCGGGUCUGAGAGGAUGAUCCGCCACACUGGGACUGAGACACGGCCCAGACUCCUACGGGAGGCAGCAGUGGGGAAUAUUGGACAAUGGGGGGAACCCUGAUCCAGCCAUGCCGCGUGUGUGAAGAAGGCCUUAUGGUUGUAAAGCACUUUAAGCGAGGAGGAGGCUCUUUUGGUUAAUACCCAAGAUGAGUGGACGUUACUCGCAGAAUAAGCACCGGCUAACUCUGUGCCAGCAGCCGCCGUAA